rnacentral:tRNA from 1 species
UCCCAUGUGGUCUAGUGGUUAGGAUUUGUGGUUUUCACCUACGCAGCCCGGGUUUGAUUCCCGACAUGGGAA